GGAGUGCAGUGGUGCGAUCACGGCUCAUGGUAACCUUGAACUCCUGGGCUCAAGAGAUCCUCCUGUCUCAGGCUUCUGAGUAGAUGGGACUACAGGUGUGCACACCGUGCCCAGGCUAACAUCCUUCUGGGGGAACCCAAACCCUGCCUGGGGAAUAACUUGAAGCAUCUCAGUUCUCAAAUUGCCCCCUGCUUACCCCUAAAAGGAGACCACACAGAGCUCCACCAACCUCGAGGCAGAUUUUCCUGCAGAUGCCACUCUAAUCAAGGCCCAUUACUUCAGCCUCCCCAUCCUUCCCCAGCUGGUGUUCUCUGCUGUGAAAUCUCCAUCGAUCUGACUUCCAAACUCUGCUGAGGUGUGAAGAUACAGAGAUGAAAAGGACAUAGUUCCUGUCACCUGGCAUCUCUGCCUAGGAGAAAGACAUAAGCAAAAUUGCUGCCGGCUUCCAGGCAGACGCCUCACAAGAAUCUCACGACGCCAAAGUUGAGGCCCGGAACGCCUUCUCCCCGGGCUUGGCAUUCUCUUACGACGCAAGGCCGGGCCAGCCUGGCCACACAGCACUCGAAACCCCAUUGGUGGAUGCAAAAGCAUCGGAUAAGUUCAUUGGAUGAGCCUGGAGGAACGCGGCACCUCAUUGGCCACAGAGAAGUCAAUUCCUGGCAAUCUCGGAGGGUGCGCAUGCUCGGAAGGUGAGUGGCGGGCAAACCGGCCGGAAGAUCCUGCCUGUUUUUGCAGCCAGAGGCACGCAAUGGAGGGUGGGCAGUGCGUUGCCAGAUGGCCUCGCCUGGCCCAUUUCUCUUUUUGCACUCUGUUGUCUCUGCUUCUCCAGCCACACUAGGAGGUCAGACCCUUGGCCCUCACUCACGGAACUUAUCUCCCUACCCAAAUGGCCUCUCAUGUUCCCAGCCUGGCCCCUGCCUCGGCACCCACCUUAGUGGCCCUAGCCUCUGGGAGUCAGCUUGGCCUCUUGAGUCUUCACUUGCAGUGGCCCCUGUGCAGCCCAGGCGUCUUCAUCUGAUUGCGCUAUCGCACCAGCCUCCUCAUGGUCUCCUGGAGGGUUGAAUCUAG
rnacentral:lncRNA from 10 species